CUACUACUGAUAUUCAAAUAUUGCGCCUCUGAUGAUUUCCUUCGGUCCAUUAGAAACUUCAUUGGUAUUUGCAAAGGGGCAUCCAACAGUAUUGCUAAAAGGAUAUGUAUGACACAGGACAGCGUCUUCGAGAGACAGGUACAUGCCUAUAGGUCUGGUACACAAUGAAAUCUGUGUGCCACAGUGUGGUAGACCACUGCUAGAGGAGCUGAAACAAAAUUAUGCAGCCCUCCGAUCUUCAUCUACAUCUAUACUCUGCAAAUCACUAUAAAGUGCAUGGUUCCAUUCAUGUGUGGAACGUGAGAAGAAUGAUUGUUUUCAAUGCCCCUGUGAUGCUGUAAUUAAUUUAAUGUUGUCCCCACAAUUCUUAUGGAAACAAUAUGUAGGAGGUUGUAGUGCAUUCCUAGAGUCAUCAUUUAAAACCAGUUCAUGAAACCUUGUUAGCAUACAUUCUUGGGAUAGUUUCCAUCUGUCUCCAAGAGUCUGCCUGUUCAGUUGUUUCAACAUAUCUGUGAUGCUUUCCUGUGGGUCAAACAAACGUGACCAUUUGUUGGCCAUCUCUGUAUACAUUCAAUAUCCCCUGUUAUUCUCAUUUGUUACAGUUCCCACACAGCUUUGUGUAUUCUGGAUGCAUCACAUGAGAGAUUUGUAAGCAAUCUUCUUUGUAGACUGAUACCUUUUUCCUAGUAUUCCAUCAAUAAAGAGAAGUCUGCUACCUGCUUUA